AUAACAAUACAGGACUCUUUCGAGGCACGGUAAUUGGAAUGAGUACACUUUAAAUCCUUUAAUGAGGAUCUAUUGGAGGGCAAGUCUGGCGCAGUACGACUGACCCGUGCGUGCUGCAGCUGAAACUCCAC